UACGGAAGGCAGCAGUGGGGAAUAUUGCACAAUGGGCGCAAGCCUGAUGCAGCCAUGCCGCGUGUAUGAAGAAGGCCUUCGGGUUGUAAAGUACUUUCAGCGGGGAGGAAGGCGGUGAAGUUAAUAGCUUCACCGAUUGACGUUACCCGCAGAAGAAGCACCGGCUAACUCCGUGCCAGCAGCCGCGGUAAUACGGAGGGUGCAAGCGUUAAUCGGAAUUACUGGGCGUAAAGCGCACGCAGGCGGUCUGUCAAGUCGGAUGUGAAAUCCCCGGGCUUAACCUGGGAACUGCAUUCGAAACUGGCAGGCUAGAGUCUUGUAGAGGGGGUAGAAUUCCAGGUGUAGCGGUGAAAUGCGUAGAGAUCUGGAGGAAUACCGGUGGCGAAGGCGGCCCCUGGGACAAGACUGACGCUCAGGUGCGAAAGCGUGGGGAGCGAAACAGGGAUUAGGAUA
rnacentral:rRNA from 1 species